GCUGUAGCUCAGUGAUAGAGCAUCUGCUUUGCAUGCAGAAGGGCUCAGGUUCCAUAUCUGGCAUCUCCA